AUUGAACGCUGGCGGCAGGCUUAACACAUGCAAGUCGAACGAUGAAGAUAUAGCUUGCUAUAUCGGAUUAGUGGCGGACGGGUGAGUAACACUUAGGAAUCUACCUUUUAGCGGGGGAUAGCUCGGGGAAACUCGAAUUAAUACCGCAUAAUUUCUACGGAAUAAAGAGGGCUUUUAGCUCUCACUAGAAGAUGAGCCUAAGUAAGAUUAGCUAGUUGGUGGGGUAAAAGCCUACCAAGGCGACGAUCUUUAGCUGGUCUGAGAGGAUGAUCAGCCACACUGGGACUGAGACACGGCCCAGACUCCUACGGGAGGCAGCAGCGGGGAAUAUUGGACAAUGGGGGCAACCCUGAUCCAGCCAUGCCGCGUGUGUGAAGAAGGCCUUUUGGUUGUAAAGCACUUUAAGCAGUGAAGAAGACCUAUUGGUUAAUACCCAAUAGCGAUGACAUUAACUGCAGAAUAAGCACCGGCUAACUCUGUGCCAGCAGCCGCGGUAAUACAGAGGGUGCAAGCGUUAAUCGGAAUUACUGGGCGUAAAGCGAGCGUAGGUGGUUAAAUAAGUCAGAUGUGAAAGCCCUGGGCUCGACCUAGGAACGGCAUCUGAAACUAUUUAACUAGAGUAGGUGAGAGGGAAGUAGAAUUUCAGGUGUAGCGGUGAAGUGCGUAGAGAUCUGAAGGAAUACCGAUGGCGAAGGCAGCUUCCUGGUAUCAUACUGACACUGAGGCUCGAAAGCGUGGGUAGCAAACAGG
rnacentral:rRNA from 1 species